UACAGAGGUCUCAAGCGUUGUUCGGAUUCAUUGGGCGUAAAGGGUGCGUAGGUGGCGGGGCAAGUCUGGUGUGAAAUCUCGGAGCUCAACUCCGAACUGCACUGGAUACUGCCUUGCUCGAGUACUGGAGAGGAGAUUGGAAUUUACGGUGUAGCAGUGAAAUGCGUAGAUAUCGUAAGGAAGACCAGUGGCGAAGGCGAAUCUCUGGACAGUUACUGACACUGAGGCACGAAGGCCAGGGGAGCAAACGGG
rnacentral:rRNA from 1 species